GCAGCCACUCAUUCAAAGAGUGCGUAAUAGCUCACUGGUCGAGUGAUCCUGCGCCGAAGAUUUCCGGGGCUAAAACUUACUACCGAAGCUACGGCAUCAGUAAUGAUGGGUAGGGGAGCUUCCCAUACGGGUUGAAGCAUGACCGUAAGGACAUGUGGACAGUAUGGGAGUGAGAAUGUUGGCAUGAGUAGCGAGAUGUGGGUGAGAAUCCCACAGGCCGUAAACCCAAGGUUUCCAGGGGAAGGUUCGUCCGCCCUGGGUUAGUCGGGACCUAAGCUGAGGCCGAAAGGCGUAGGUGAUGGACAACAGGUUGAUAUUCCUGUACUACCGAUAACCGUUUGAGAGAUGGGAUGACACAGUAGGAUAAGCUAAGCACACUGUUGGUUAUGUGUGCCCAAGCAUUGAGGCAGUCAAAGUAGGCAAAUACGCUUUGAUAAUGCUGGGAUGUGAUGGGGAGCGAAAUUUAGUAGCGAAGUAGCUGAUUUCACACUGUCAAGAAAAGUCUCUAUCGAGGUUAAAGGUACCCGUACCGCAAACCGACACAGGUGGGUGAGGAGAGUAUCCUAAGGCCAGCGAGAGAACUGUUGUUAAGGAACUCGGCAAAAUGACCCCGUAACUUAGGGAUAAGGGGUGCCACCAUCAGGUGGCCGCAGAGAAUAGGCCCAAGCGACUGUUUACCAAAAACAUAGGUUUCUGCUAAGUCGCAAGACGAUGUAUAGGAGCUGACGCCUGCCCGGUGCUGGAAGGUUAAGGGGAUCUGUUAGAGCAAUCGAAGCAGUGAACUUAAGCC
rnacentral:rRNA from 1 species